AUGCUGCGUCUUUUACAGCAACAUUUAGAGCGUGUGAAUGCCAGAAUGAAACACCAGGCUGACAAGAAACGCUCGGACAGAGUGUUUGCAGUGGGCGAUUCAGUGUUUCUCAAGCUACAACCAUACAUACAGUCAUCUGUUGCCCCUCGUGCACACCAUAAGUUGUUGUUCAAGCAUUACGGGCCGUUUAAGAUUCUUCAGAGAGUUGGUGCAUCAGCUUAUCGUUUGGCGCUCCCAGAAGGCAGUCGUAUCUACCCAGUUUUACAUGUUUCUCAGUUGAAGAUUGCACUCGGGCCA
rnacentral:rRNA from 1 species